ACGGGAGGCAGCAGUGGGGAAUAUUGCACAAUGGGGGAAACCCUGAUGCAGCGACGCCGCGUGAGUGAAGAAGUAUUUCGGUAUGUAAAGCUCUAUCAGCAGGGAAGAUAAUGACGGUACCUGACUAAGAAGCACCGGCUAAAUACGUGCCAGCAGCCGCGGUAAUACGUAUGGUGCAAGCGUUAUCCGGAUUUACUGGGUGUAAAGGGAGCGCAGACGGCAGAGCAAGUCUGAAGUGAAAGCCCCGGGCUCAACCCGGGAACUGCUUUGGAAACUGUUUUGCUAGAGUGUCGGAGAGGUAAGUGGAAUUCCUAGUGUAGCGGUGAAAUGCGUAGAUAUUAGGAGGAACACCAGUGGCGAAGGCGGCUUACUGGACUGUAACUGACGUUGAGGCUCGAAAGCGUGGGGAGCAAACAGGAUUAGAUACCCUGGUA
rnacentral:rRNA from 1 species